GGAAGUCAGGGCGAUCUGGCUGUGACAUCUGUCACCCCAUUGAUCACUAGGCUUUAUUUGGCUGAUCUGGAUGGCUAGGCUUGUGUCCCUUCCCUCUCUUACCACUCCAUGUACAUCCCUCCAGAAGCUGUGGGCUUGGUCAAAGCGGAUGACCAUCCCAGGUGGAGGAGAACCAGUCUUUGGUUAAGCAUAUAUGAGUAGCUGCCCUCCCCUGCUAGAACCUGCAAAUAAGCUCUCAAAGUGGCCCAGGUUGAGAUUGGGAUUUCUCCUCCCUCCCGAUCUUAAACAACGACCAAGGAUAAAGGCAAGAAUUAGCCUUAAAUAUUUGAUCAUGUUCAUCUCU
rfam:Nomascus leucogenys chromosome 2, whole genome shotgun sequence.